rfam:Erythranthe guttata cultivar DTN x IM62 scaffold_17_contig_62, whole genome shotgun sequence.
AGAGCUAAAUGUAGCCAACGACAACUUGCCGGAAAACAUUUUUGAAUCUCCGGCAAGUCAUCCUUGGCUGCAAUCCACUCUCU